AAAGGGAUUGUUGCUCAGUUAGUAGACUGCUUGUCUAGCAUGUAGAAAAAGCUCUACAUUUGACCCCAGUGUGGUGUCUCAUAUCUGUAAUCCCAGUACUCAGAAGAUGGAGGCAGGAGCAUCACAAGUUCAGUGUCAUCUUCUGCUACACAAUGAGUUUCAGGUCAACCAGGGUUACAAGAGACCUCUGAAAAACAAAAAAUCUUGCAACAAUUCUGAGAUGGAUAUUCUUUUGUUUCCCUAAUGAGAACAUUGAAGCUAAGGGAAAAUAGGCUUUUUCAAAUGUAAAUUAGGGGCUCCAGGAGCUGGCUCACUCAGGAAAGUGCUCGCUGAGUAAACUUAAGGACCUGAGUUUGGAUCGCCAGUACCCACAUAGAAAAAGUUCAGUGCAGGGUCAGACAGAUGGUUCAAAAGGGUUAAGGCACUCAGUGCCGAGACUGUCCAUUUGAGUUCUAUUCCUGCCACUCACAUGGUGGAAGGAGUUGUCCUCUGGCCUCCACACCUGCACCCUGGCAUGCUUCCCCUGACCUCUGUAGACACACACACAAAUGCAAUAUUUUUUUUUUUUUUUACAGAAAGUAAACGGCCUUUCAUAGCCUAUUGUACUCCUACUACUAGAUGAGGAAUGGGGAGCCCAGACACUCUCUCCGUAGCAGCACUAGGCUCAGCAGGCCAUCAAGGGACACCGCUCCAAGCCCAGGACCUGAGAAGGUGCCCUACCAGGGAUGACCGGUCUCGAGUACCAGCCAAUCACUGCAGGAGGAAGACGGGGGCGGAGCCGGCGACGCGCAGCCUUCUGGGGCUUGUAGUCUGCGGCUGUGAUGCGGCCUCGACGCGCUGGGACCCCUGCGUCUGUGGCAGGCAGGCGACGCGAGAACGGAAGGCCGAAGGCAGCGUGUGUGAGCAGCCAGCCAAUGUGGAAGGAUGGCACUAAGCCACUCCGUGAAGGAGCGGACCAUCUCCGAGAACAGCCUGAUCAUCCUGUUGCAGGGCCUCCAGGGCCAGAUGAUGUGAACAUUACUGCCACCAUCGAGCAACAGAUACAGAUUAUCCAUCGUGUGCGAAACUUCGGUGGCAAGGGCCAAGGUCGACAGGAGUUUCCUUCCAAAAGGCGCAAGUGAGGUUGUCCCCUCAGCAAACCUGCAGCACCAACUCAGGGUUCUCCGGUGUUCUGAGCCAACUCUCUGCCAUCCCUCCCUCCCAGGGACCUGGUAUCUGACAAAUGCCACCUGCCUUUCUUAGGCUUCCACCUCCCAGACUCACCCUGGGACCCAGAAUCCUGUCUGUCUACCUGUGGCCUUGGGGUAGGUGACAGUCUUCCUUUUGAUCAUUUUCAUCUGGAAUUGCCAUUUACUGAUUGAGGACGUCUGUCAAGGAGUAAUCAACCCUGCCAGUGAGAUUAUUAAAUCUGUUUGGAGUGAAUCAUCCCUAAUUC